rnacentral:rRNA from 1 species
AGUGAACGCUGGCGGUAGGCCUAACACAUGCAAGUCGAACGGCAGCACAGAGGAGCUUGCUCCUUGGGUGGCGAGUGGCGGACGGGUGAGGAAUACAUCGGAAUCUACUCUGUCGUGGGGGAUAACGUAGGGAAACUUACGCUAAUACCGCAUACGACCUACGGGUGAAAGCAGGGGACCUUCGGGCCUUGCGCGAUUGAAUGAGCCGAUGUCGGAUUAGCUAGUUGGCGGGGUAAAGGCCCACCAAGGCGACGAUCCGUAGCUGGUCUGAGAGGAUGAUCAGCCACACUGGAGCUGAGACACGGUCCAGACUCCUACGGGAGGCAGCAGUGGGGAAUAUUGGACAAUAGGCGCAAGCCUGAUCCAGCCAUACCGCGUGGGUGAAGAAGGCCUUCGGGUUGUAAAGCCCUUUUGUUGGGAAAGAAAUCCAGCUGGCUAAUACCCGGUUGGGAUGACGGUACCCAAAGAAUAAGCACCGGCUAACUUCGUGCCAGCCGCCGCGGUAA